rnacentral:rRNA from 1 species
CUGCUGCCUCCCGUAGGAGUCUGGUCCGUGUCUCAGUACCAGUGUGGGGGACCUUCCUCUCAGAACCCCUACGCAUCGUCGGUUAGGUGGGCCGUUACCCCGCCUACUGCCUAGUGCGCCGCAUGCCCAUCCCUGUCCGGCCGAAGCCUUUCCUGCCUCCGGGAUGCCCCGGUGGCAUGUACGCGGGUUUAGCCCGCCUUUCGGCGGGUUGUCCCCCUGACAGGGGCAGGUUGCAUACGUGUUACUCACCCGUGCGCCGGUCGCCGGCGGAGAAAG